rnacentral:tRNA from 2 species
GGGGCCGUAGCUCAGGUGGUAGAGCACCUCAUGGUUAAUGAGGUGGCCGGAUGUUCGAGUCAUCCCGGCCCCG